rnacentral:misc_RNA from 1 species
GAUGAAGAACGCAGCGAAAUGCGAUAAAUAAUGUGAAUUGCAGAAUUCAGUGAAUCAUCGAGUCUUUGAACGCACAUUGCGCCCCCUGGUAUUCCGGGGGACAUGCCUGUCCGAGCGUCAUUGCUGCCCUCAAGCACGGCUUGUGUGUUGGGCCCCCGUCCCCCCCUCCCGGGGGACGGGCCCGAAAGGCAGCGGCGGCACCGCGUCCGGUCCUCGAGCGUAUGGGGCUUCGUCACCCGCUCUUGUAGGCCCGGCCGGCGCUUGCCGACACAUCAAUCUUUUUUCCAGGUUGACCUCGGAUCAGGUAGGGAUACCCGCUGAACUUAAGCAUAUCAAUAAGCGGAGGA